AGCUCAGUGAUUCAAUGGUAUAGCGCUCGUUGCUGAGCCAGAGGGUCUUGGGUUCGAUCUCCAACGGGGUCG
rnacentral:tRNA from 1 species